GCAGUCGAGCGGUAGCACAGAGAGCUUGCUCUCGGGUGACGAGCGGCGGACGGGUGAGUAAUGUCUGGGAAACUGCCUGAUGGAGGGGGAUAACUACUGGAAACGGUAGCUAAUACCGCAUAACGUCGCAAGACCAAAGUGGGGGACCUUCGGGCCUCAUGCCAUCAGAUGUGCCCAGAUGGGAUUAGCUAGUAGGUGGGGUAAUGGCUCACCUAGGCGACGAUCCCUAGCUGGUCUGAGAGGAUGACCAGCCACACUGGAACUGAGACACGGUCCAGACUCCUACGGGAGGCAGCAGUGGGGAAUAUUGCACAAUGGGCGCAAGCCUGAUGCAGCCAUGCCGCGUGUAUGAAGAAGGCCUUCGGGUUGUAAAGUACUUUCAGCGAGGAGGAAGGCCAUUAAGGUUAAUAACCUUGGUGAUUGACGUUACUCGCAGAAGAAGCACCGGCUAACUCCGUGCCAGCAGCCGCGGUAAUACGGAGGGUGCAAGCGUUAAUCGGAAUUACUGGGCGUAAAGCGCACGCAGGCGGUCUGUCAAGUCGGAUGUGAAAUCCCCGGGCUCAACCUGGGAACUGCAUUCGAAACUGGCAGGCUAGAGUCUUGUAGAGGGGGGUAGAAUUCCAGGUGUAGCGGUGAAAUGCGUAGAGAUCUGGAGGAAUACCGGUGGCGAAGGCGGCCCCCUGGACAAAGACUGACGCUCAGGUGCGAAAGCGUGGGGAGCAAACAGGAUUAGAUACCCUGGUAGUCCACGCCGUAAACGAUGUCGACUUGGAGGUUGUGCCCUUGAGGCGUGGCUUCCGGAGCUAACGCGUUAAGUCGACCGCCUGGGGAGUACGGCCGCAAGGUUAAAACUCAAAUGAAUUGACGGGGGCCCGCACAAGCGGUGGAGCAUGUGGUUUAAUUCGAUGCAACGCGAAGAACCUUACCUACUCUUGACAUCCAGAGAACUUAGCAGAGAUGCUUUGGUGCCUUCGGGAACUCUGAGACAGGUGCUGCAUGGCUGUCGUCAGCUCGUGUUGUGAAAUGUUGGGUUAAGUCCCGCAACGAGCGCAACCCUUAUCCUUUGUUGCCAGCGGUCCGGCCGGGAACUCAAAGGAGACUGCCAGUGAUAAACUGGAGGAAGGUGGGGAUGACGUCAAGUCAUCAUGGCCCUUACGAGUAGGGCUACACACGUGCUACAAUGGCAUAUACAAAGAGAAGCGACCUCGCGAGAGCAAGCGGACCUCAUAAAGUAUGUCGUAGUCCGGAUUGGAGUCUGCAACUCGACUCCAUGAAGUCGGAAUCGCUAGUAAUCGUAGAUCAGAAUGCUACGGUGAAUACGUUCCCGGGCCUUGUACACACCGCCCGUCACACCAUGGGAGUGGGUUGCAAAAGAAGUAGGUAGCUUAACCUUCGGGAGGGCGCU
rnacentral:rRNA from 1 species